CGUCGGUAUCCUGCCGCUGGGGACCGGCAACGACCUGUCGCGCGUGCUCGGCUCGGGCGAGGCCUACACUGAGGUGGACCCGCAGCGGGUCAUGCGGCGGCUCGCCGACGCCCGGGUCAUCCUCGUCGACCGCUGGCUGGUGCAGCUGGACCCCCUGCGGCACGUGCACCUGCCCGGCUCCACGGUUCGCAUGACCAACUACGUCAGCCUGGGCGUGGACGCGCUGGUGACGCUCAACUUCCACAAGACGCGCGAGUCGCCGCACUACCUCUGGAGCAGCCGGCUGGUGAACAAGCUGAUCUACUUCUGCUACGGCACCAA